GAAAAAGUGAAGCAUUAACCUUUAGUAAUUCAAUUAGCAACAGUUAUGGGAUUGACUGGUUUUGGCAGCAUGAAGAAAAGGUUCAAGAAACAUCAGAAAAUAGUGAGCGGAUCAAAGGGCUGAAUGCCAAACCUCCUGAAAGCCAAAGCAGAUUUGUCAGUGGACCCUGAGAUGAAGGUUACUUCUAAUUUCCAAACCUGUAGGAUCAUAGCUCUGUUUCCAUUGCAGUGUCACUGCUGCAGCUGGAUGUGCCGGAUCCCUCUUGCAGAUGUUUUCAUCCCUUGUUGAGGAUCUCAUUGGUGCUUUAAAAGGAAGAGGUACCACUCUUUCAGAACUGAAAAGGGGGUGAGAUGAAUUCACAGCUUGAUUUCCCUUA